UACAGAGGGUGCAAGCGUUAAUCGGAAUUACUGGGCGUAAAGCGUGCGUAGACGGUUAUGUAAGUCGGGUGUGAAAGCCCCGGGCUCAACCUGGGAAUGCCAUUCGAGACUGCAUAGCUAGGGUGCGGAAGAGGGAAGCGGAAUUUCCGGUGUAGCGGUGAAAUGCGUAGAUAUCGGAAGGAACACCAGUGGCGAAAGCGGCAUCCUGGACCGACACUGACGCUGAGGAGCGAAAGCCAGGGGAGCAAACGGG
rnacentral:rRNA from 1 species